rnacentral:rRNA from 1 species
CAAUAGCGUAUAUUAACGUUGUUGCAGUUAAAAAGCUCGUAGUUGGAUUUCUGGAGGGAGCGUCGGCCCGUAUUUACGAGUGCGUGACGUCUCUGUCCAUCCUUGCGGGAAGGCACGGCAUUGAUUUGUUGUGUCGGAUCGCAUCAUUUACUGUGAAAAAAUUAGAGUGUUCAAAGCAGGCUUUCGCUUGAAUACAUUAGCAUGGAAUAAUAAGAUAGGACUUUGGUCUAUUUUGUUGGUUGCGGCCCAAAGUAAUGAUUAAUAGGGAUGAUUGGGGACAUUCAUAUUGAGGUGGAAGAGGUGAAAUUCUUGGAUUUCCUCAAGAUGAACUGCUGCGAAAGCGUUUGUCCAGGGCGUUUNCAUUAA